GACAGAGGGUGCGAACGUUGUUCGGAAUUAUUGGGCGUAAAGGGCUCGUAGGCGGUUUGUCGCGUCGGGAGUGAAAACUCAGGGCUUAACCCUGAGCCUGCUUCCGAUACGGGCAGACUAGAGGUAUGCAGGGGAGAACGGAAUUCCUGGUGUAGCGGUGAAAUGCGCAGAUAUCAGGAGGAACACCGGUGGCGAAGGCGGUUCUCUGGGCAUUACCUGACGCUGAGGAGCGAAAGUGUGGGGAGCGAACAGG
rnacentral:rRNA from 1 species